ACGACUCUCGGCAACGGAUAUCUCGGCUCACGCAUCGAUGAAAACGCAGCGAAAAGAACGCAGCAAAAUGCGAUACUUGGUGUGAAUUGCAGAAUCCCGUGAACCAUCGAGUUUUUGAACGCAAGUUGCGCCCGAAGCCAUCCGGUUGAGGGCACGUCUGCCUGGGAGUCACG
rnacentral:rRNA from 1 species